AAUCCAUAUUGAUGUCCCAUAACUAACAAUGUGGAAACACAAAAAUGAGAAACCAAGAACAAUCUAAGAUCCCAACUGAAUCUCAGAAGAACGUGUCUGCAAACAUCAAUUCCUUGGGUGUAUAGUGAUGGUUCCCAAAAAAAGAAAAAGAACAGAAAACUGAGAGCACAAGUCAAACAAGAAAAAGCUUUCUGAAACAAAAGAAGAUUAAGAGCUUAAAAUCAGCUCAAAGUCCACAUGCCAUUCAACUUUGUGGUAGUCUCAAAGUUCUCUCUCUCUCUCUCCAACGCAUGGCUCACUCUCCCUAAAAUUUCAAACAAAUCCUUCAUAAAUCCAUUAUCUUGUAAAAAUAGAGUGUUUGUGAACUUCAUAGUUGCCAAAGGUGCACAGAAUCCUUAAACCGCUACGUAGAAGAGAUCCACCUCAUCCAAAAGCAAAUUUACUGAAACUUGUAUAAUUAUGCCACUUUAUAACUAGAAAUAAUUGCAUAAAAAAGCAUUAAAAAAAUUAUUGACAAAAUGAGUACUAAAAAGAAGAUUAACAACUGAAACUGUUCAAAACAAGUAAUGUGCACACUUUAGUUCAAAGAAAUCAUCCAACACAACCUACCUUCAAGGUAAAUCAAUACAACAGAAAAGAUAACUAUCAACUACUAAAAUUAUCUUGCAAAAACUAUGUGCACAACUGCGUAAUAUAUAUAUAAGCAACCACCAAAAGACAUGCUCUCAAAAAGAUCAUAAUAACAACCCUAAAAUCUACUCCAUAAGCCAUUCCUAGAAAAACAAUAGUAAUGUUUAUCAUCGUCAUGUUAAAUAUCAUUUUCUUCUUAUUUCCCUUUAUUAGAGUUUACAUCCUCUCUGUCUUCUUUCUUUUCAUCCAUCUUCUGUUUAUAUCCCUCUUCCUCAUCUACAAUAUCUAAAAGAGUAGCUCCAGACAGAGAAGAACUUGCUUACGUUUGUUGGUACUCUAAACAAUCAAUAUCGCUGGAAGACAGGCAACUUUGAUUUGGUAUUAGAACACCACAAUGAAUUCUGACAUUCGCCUCACAAGAGUUGAUUCUAUGUAAUGUAAUCACAUUUACUUUAUUAUCAUUGAUACUUAGAUGGUAUAAUCCAAUGGUUUUAAACCCAAAUUACAGGCAUAAAAUAAAAACUCAUAAAACUAAUAGAAAGUACCAUUCAAAGGGAAAAAAAAGCCCACUAACACGAAUGCCAAGGUGCAAACACAAGGCAUGUGCCUCAAGGACAGAGCCUUGCUUGAACCACCCUAGGCGUGUGACCUACGGCUUGUGUGGACCUAGAGCCAGCAUACAACUAUCAUAAAAUUCAACAUGCAUGGGAAAGAAUACCCGAAAGUCAUACCAUAUUCAAAAUGCCAUCCUAGUCUAGUCUGGUCAUGAACAAACACUAUGCUCAUGCAAGGACCAGAUAUGUGCAGCUUAAGAGUCCAACUCUAACAACACAUCUCAAUGUUACAACACUAAUAUGGCAUGUAUCAUAAAUCUAAACUCUCUUCAUUAUCCAGAAAUUUUCAUUUUAAAAUAACCUAAUAGCAAGUAGUCAGAUCAAUUCUUUCAAUUCUUUUGCCAAAAUGGCUACAAGCAAGGUGGUAAUUUUGGUCAUGACCACUUGGCAAAAGACAAUGUUAUUAUUUAUCAUCAUAAAAAUUUAAAAAUCAACACUAAUUUGUCCUUGAAUCAUAUAACUUGGCUACCAUAUAGUAGGCUGAUAUUCAUAUAAAUAUGAGACUCCAUGAUCAACAACAAAUGUGAUCCAAAUGAAUUGCAAAUAAAGCAGCCCGAACCUUGAGAGUCAUGUAGUCACGACUAAGUAUGUGUCGUCCAUCCUUAGCGAAUUUAAUAUCUGAGAUUGAAGCA
rnacentral:misc_RNA from 1 species